GUGGACUUGAUGAACAUCUCCUCUUAACAGUAGAUAUGGUGCAAUUCCUUUGGUUAAUUGUUGAUGCUGAGCUGGUCUCACACACUGUGGUACAUUUCUGGGCCAUCUUCUCAUGAACAUAAGGAAAGAUGCUUUCCAAGGUAAAAGAGACCAUGGAGGGAUCUGCAGGAGACCAUGUAAAGAUUAACAGGAGAUCACGCCAUGAAUCGACAGGGGAUCACAUGAGUAUUCACAGAAGACUACUCAGGUCAUCCACAGGAGGCCACAGGAGAAUCACUGUGUACCCCUGAGAAUGUGUCCUGGAACCCUGAAUCCUGCCUGAGUGCCUGAGUGCUGAGAUUAUGUCUGGAAAGACUG